GACCGGUGCGGUGACCUUCCGUCGUCUGCUGCUGCAUCAACAGCGCGAUGGAUCGGAAGCGAGGCUGAGUAUCACAAACGGCAACGACAUCACUAGAGUGACGGCUGCACUGACAGCACUAGAACGCCUUUUUUUUUGCUGCCCCAGAUCAUCUAUGCCUCUUUUCUUCCUGCACAAAGCCUAACUAGGCAUGCUCUUGCUACACGAAUCCAAGCCAACUACAAUUUCUCCUGCUCCUGGAAUCGGCACUAGUACGGUGGUUGUUGCUGUUGCUAGGCUUCUUCCUUCUUUCACAGAGCCUGACCACAGAGCCGCCUGAUACGUUCUUGGUGCUUCUUUCCUCAUGUUUGAGAGAGUUGCAGGUCUUGGUGGAUAAACAUACCCGUGCUGGUGAUUUUAGUUUAUGUAUUUUUGCCCUGAUAUGUUCCUCCGUUUAGUGUAUCUUUCAAAUUGCUAGAAUGCUAUUUCUACAUAUUUCUUGUUUUGAUUUGCAAGCAUGUUUCCUGUUCCAAGUUCAGACCCCCCAUGGGUAUUUGAAUUCAGAUACAAAUUGUUACCUGAUAUUUAGUUUAUGUUAAUUUCAUAUUCAGAAUUUCGUAUCAUUGUUUGUGAUUUUCCUUUAGUAAUUUUAAUUCCAGGUAUUGUAGACAGUUCAUUUAGAUAUCUUGCAAUGUACAUGUAGAUCCAGGAGGAAAAUUCCUUUAUGGAGGCCUUAAGCAGGAGGCACAAGCCUGUGGCGCAUCUGAUAGCAGAGCCUGACAACGUCCUGUCCGUGGUCGAGGUGGACAUGUACACACGCAUCGCCGUCGAGGAGGACGAUGCUGCAUUGCUUGAGGAGAUCAUCCGGCAGGGAUGUGACCGCUGCGUGUUGCAGCGACAGCUGCACCGCGCAGUCAAGGACGACAACAUCCGGCUUAUCAGAGAAGAUUGCAUGUGACAUCUAGCUAAGGCCAAGGAUGAGGCCUGCCAUUGUACUCAGCAGUGGUCGAGGGGCACACCCGAAUUGGCCAUGCUGCACCGAGUUGAAUACCAUGACCUGGCCGUGACGGUGAACCAAGCUGUCCGCCUUCCAGAACGUUGAUUUCUUGUCAAGGAAAUCUCUUGAAGAACAAAAAUGGUAUAUAAUGUGAGCAUCCCAGCUGCAUUUGUCCAUCCUCAUAUCAGUUUGUCUGGUCUAAUGGAGCGAAGAAACGGGAGUGUAUGUAUUCCCACUAAACAUGGGUAUAUAUUUGGCAUGUAUUCUCAGCUUGAAGUUCUACCUACCAAUUAUUGGCGAUUAAAGAUGGAACUGAUUCUGCCUAAUUUGAUUAUUUUGAGAGCGUCAAGAAGGUUGAUAGACCAGCAAAUAGUCGUUUUGAGCCCACAACCAUUCCUCAGAAGGAUCAACCUUUGGGAAUGGUUCUUCAGAUAAUACCAUACUGAAUAUGGAGGCAUGUAUUUUUAAGUGAAAUAGUUAUUUCUAGACCCUUUUGGUAACAUCCAGUUGUGUGUAAUAUUUGAUAGUUGGACAUGCUAGGGAUUCUCACAUAGUAUAUUCACUUCCAAAUAAAAAGAUUCUAGAAAAAAGACCUUUGGGAAUCGUUCUUCCAAUAAUACCAUGCUGAAUAUGGAGACAUAUAUUUUUAAAUGAAAUGGUUGUUUCUAGAGUUUUUUUAUGUUCCUAUUACAGACUGUUGAUGCACACUGUUUUAUAACAGUAUGAUGGUGUGUGCUACUUCGUUGAGUGGUUGGUUGCAGAAUGAAAGGGCAGGAGUGGCAUCACGAUGAACAGCGAGAAGAUAUGAAGAGUAUUAGAAGUGGGACUAGAGCCAUGAGAUUCUCCGAUGUCUGGAAGAGGCAAGCUGGAGCAUUCCAUUCCUCUAUGGUUAGGAAGCACACCUCGCUGUAGACAUCCCCUGACGGCCAAGAAACAAAGGGGGGCUUCAAAAGGGCUUCCUUUCCGCCUUGGUUUCAGAGUUUGUGUUCAUGUUAUUAGCUAUAGAAAUGCAACUGUGUUGUGUAUGCAAAUGGGGUUGAGACAAAGCAGAGCUCAUUGCACUGCGCCCGCACAUAUCCCCAUCAGCUACAUGGGCCACAUCGUCUCCUGCGGCAGCCUUGGCGCUCCAGGGCGAUUCGAGCAAGGCCUGGAGCCAUCUCGGGCAUCUGUGUGGCGUUGGACGCCGCAAACUCAACGGGACGGUGGCCUCAAGCGCGGGUCCGUCUUAAGUCCAUGUGCAAUCUGUCCCACCGGUGCCCGGCAGCGCUGAUGACCAUUUUCUCCUUCCACUGUCUUCUUUUCAUCGCCCCAGCCAGAUGUACUUCCAGCAAGAAGGGAGUAGUUUGAGGAAGGGGAGUUUUCCUGUAUAUAUAUGCCUACACCACAAUUUUAGAAGGGAAAAAGGAGGCAUUGGAGAAGCAGAAAUUGGAGGGUUGAUUGUCCCUGUCAUAGUCCUAGAAGAAAUGUAUUCCCUUGUGAGGAUUUGAUACCCUGCAAUAAGAAAUUUAGUGUCGAGUUUCUAACACGGCCGGAGGUAGUUCUCUUGUUAGUAAUAUGCUUAGAUCUAGAUUACUUGCCUAGAAAUCAGGAGUUCAUUUUUAUCAUCCUAAUUUUCUCAUUGCACCAACAUGCCGCGUCUGCUUUUAGGUACUGCUCUAUGGACAGUCAAAGUCGAAUCAGAAACACACAAUAAAGUAGCAUGAGUCCUCUUUGAGUGUCAGUCUGCCAGACAUUUGUAUAAUGAUAACCCUUUGAGCAUUACAAAAUUUUCUUCUAUAUUAUCUAUGCUCUUUGCUUCAAUGCACUCUCCUUCAGGUGCUAAAGAAUUUUCUAUCUCACUUUACGGUAAUCUUUUCAGUUAAAUGUAAUGAUGAUAAAUUUUUGCAUGUCCAUGUAAAUAGUAAAUAAUUCCCUUUGUGAUCCGAGUGCUUAAUAUAAACUUCAAUGAGUACAGAUGUGUUGUGAUGAUCCAGUGAGAACAUGACCUGAAUUGGUGUCCCUACUGCGUAGCUCCUGAGCGUCA